rnacentral:lncRNA from 1 species
UUAUAAGUGAUAUGGUUCAAUUAGGAGAUGUAAACUAUUUUCUUAGCAACUAUGCAUAAUAAUGUCGUACAUUCACAACAGGAUCUUGGUUUUCUAGUCGACUUCCCUAGCAGGUUUUAUUUACUGCAUCGAUGAUAAUAUUUUAUUUAACUUGUGUGAGUAGAAUCCAUGGGUUGCAUAUCAGCAGCUGAACAAGACUUUGAUUUGUUACUAAUCGUACUUGCCUGUUUUCCUUUUGCUACCAACAUGCUCUUAACAUCUUUCUCUGAACCCACCCGACCUGUGUUUCUUCUCCUCCAUUCCAUUCCGUGACCCAGUAAACCCACCUAAGCACAUCACUCGAAUACCCAGCCUCAACAAAAUUAAGAGCUAACACAUUGUCCUGCAAACCUGAGCUGCUGGAACUAGAAACACACUCUGAGCUGCUGGAAUACGCACUCCUGUUAACAGAAUGUCCUUGCCCAUGCACAUCAUCCUGCCCCAUGAUGUCUGGAACUACCAGCUGUUAUGCAUGGAGAUUCUUGGCAGUAGACUCCCCGAUGGCAAGAACCUUGUCCAGUGUCUGGGCAGCAACGCAAACGACAUUUCAAGGAUUCUAGAGAUUUGCGGUGCCGAUGAGCUUCUUUGUCUUCAUUCGGACUACCACUUUAUGUUUUGCCAUAAGAACCUAAGUAGAUGAGGUAUGCUUAAUCUGCAUAUGUCAAAUCUUUUUUGACAGUUCUACUCUAUGUAUCUCUCCUGGCUUCCCUGAGUGUGACCUCUGUGAAUAUGAGCAGCUUCAUCAGUCUCUAUACGACUUCCUAUGUUGGCUGCUCCGUCUCCGUCUUGUCCUUCUAUAGGGUUUCCAGGACAAAUCAAUAUCCAAACACACAGCUGCAGGAUCACCCAAAUCGGAUUGAACAAAUGAAAGAAUAAAUUGGUUGGAUAUUUUGUCUACACUAACCUGGUUGACAAACAUGUUAUAAGAGACAGUGUUGUACCGUUGAUGAUUGUAACAUAUCACCAGUUUUUACGCACAGUUUGGGAAAAUAGCGUUGGUACAAACCAUUUCUAUUGUAAUGAAGGGUGGUGGUUUCUAGUGGGAGAAAUGGAUGUUGCGGAGAUGACAGAGUUGUGUUGUUAGAGUCGGGGAGAAAUGGGAGCGAGGAGAACGGGUUUUGUGUUGGAUGACAGAUGCGGGGAAGAGGGACUUAUGGUUUUCUUGUGAUUUAGUUAACAAGGCUUCAGUUAAUUUCAGGCCACGCAACUAUCUACCUGUGAAAAUUAACUUCUAGAAGUGGUUGGUUUAAGAGGUCUGUCUCUAGUGAAAUCUCAGAUUGAUUAUUUACAGGUAGAUCAAAAUCUUCGUGUUGGCUUCA